rnacentral:rRNA from 1 species
AGUCUGACGCAGCAACGCCGCGUGGGUGAUGAGGUCUUCGGAUUGUAAGCCCUGUUCUUCGAGGACGAUAAUGACGGUACUCGAGGAGGAAGCCACGGCUAACUACGUGCCAGCAGCCGCGGUAAACGUAGGUGGCAAGCGUUGUCCGGAUUUACUGGGCGUAAAGAGUGUGUAGGCG